rnacentral:rRNA from 1 species
AUUGAACGCUGGCGGAAUGCUUUACACAUGCAAGUCGAACGGCAGCACGGACUUCGGUCUGGUGGCGAGUGGCGAACGGGUGAGUAAUAUAUCGGAACAUGCCCAGUCGUGGGGGAUAACGUAGUGAAAAUUACGCUAAUACCGCAUAUGAUCUACGGAUGAAAGCGGGGGAUCGCAAGACCUCGCGCGAUUGGAGCGGCCGAUAUCAGAUUAGGUAGUUGGUGAGGUAAAGGCUAACCAAGCCGACGAUCUGUAGCUGGUCUGAGAGGACGACCAGCCACACUGGGACUGAGACACGGCCCAGACUCCUACGGGAGGCAGCAGUGGGGAAUUUUGGACAAUGGACGCAAGUCUGAUCCAGCCAUUCCGCGUGCAGGACGAAGGCCUUCGGGUUGUAAACUGCUUUUGUACAGAACGAAAAGGUCUCUAUUAAUACUAGGGGCUCAUGACGGUACUGUAAGAAUAAGCACCGGCUAACUACGUGCCAGCAGCCGCCGUAA